AAAUAUGCUCUAUUCUGGAUCAUCUGUGGGCAAUAAGUUCCUUUGUAAAAGCAAUUAUCAAACUAUUUAUGUCAGCUUUACGUUGGCGCUGUGUUCUGUAAGUACAAAGAAAAAUAUUUCAAUUUAAAUUAUGAGCUAUUGGUGACGGUUUGUGGAAGUAAUUUUUCACUUCUGUGGCAAUGUUUACAUCCGUAUUCUAGCAAUGAGCUGUAUAGUCUGAUCAUAACUCCUCCUCAGUUGCAUGGAAGAAGACUGUUUGCCUCUACGAAAACAACUGAUAGAGCUAUUCAUUACAUGUAAAUGGAAUAACUGAUUUAUGAGUCAAUUAAGUUGAUUGAUCAGUAUUUUAUUUUGAAAAUUUCAAACAUUGAACUUUACAUGAUAAUGAGGUGAACUGAAGUCUAUAAAAAGUUCUGCGUUUGAAACAAACCUAAGCUGACAUAUAGUAUUAUCUUCUAAUCAGUGGAGUUGCGUAAGGCAUGCCUUGCAUUUAGACGAUUACCAGGUUCUAUAUAGGUUUACCAGUAUAUAUGUUUGAUAUAUGAUUCAUAUGUAUACAGUAUAGACAAACACUGAAUCGCGUAUUGGUUAGGAUCAUGAAUUCAUAAUUUUUAAAUUGGGGGGGGGGGGGGGGG